rnacentral:rRNA from 1 species
UGCGCAGGCGGUUAUAUAAGACAGAUGUGAAAUCCCCGGGCUCAACCUGGGAACUGCAUUUGUGACUGUAUAGCUAGAGUACGGCAGAGGGGGAUGGAAUUCCGCGUGUAGCAGUGAAAUGCGUAGAUAUGCGGAGGAACACCGAUGGCGAAGGCAAUCCCCUGGGCCUGCACUGACGCUCAUGCACGAAAGCGUGGGGAGCAAACA